UUAGCUCCUUUUUGUCCUACUGGCCUCAGUUUAUUUGCUGUUCCUCAGAGGGGCCUUCCCUGACCACCCUGUUAUAAAUAGAUCUCCCUGUAUCCUUUAUUCUCUUUCUCCACCCUUUAUUUGUUACUUUCAUUAAUGUAUUAGAAUUUUUAAUCAUUUUACUUAUUUGUCUGUUUACUGGUAUUUUUAAAAUAUCUAUUUUCCCACUAGAACGUAAGGUCCAUUAGGACAAGAGUCAUGUCUGUCUUGCCACCAUUGCCCCCUGGCCCCUCCCCCCCCCAAGCCUAGCACAGUGCCUGGCAGGGAGUAGAUAGCCAUCAACAUUGGUGGGGGCUUUGCUGGACUGAAGGAAGAAUCAGGUAACUGAUCAAGAGUCCCCUUGAACUUUGGCGCCUGGAAACUGAGGGCCAGAUCUGUAGUGCAGCUGCAGUGACUGCCCAUGUCCUUCAGAUCCCCUGCCAGAUGUGUGUGCUGACUUCUUAUCUGAUUUCACCUUCCUCAGUGGACCCUGUUCGCACUGACCCAUGUAACUGAUGUUUAUAAUUUACAGUAAGAAUCAGACUUUCCGUCAUGAUUUAAAGCAAAUAUGAUGACACUGCAGGCUAGACACAUUGUCUUUGUGUAAUUCCCAGAAGCCAGAACAGUGUAAACAGUGCAACAGAGCUAUGGCAACUGAUGCUUUCUCUUCACCAGGACUGUCCUUCAGCGAGAGCCCUCAGGUGAGGCCCUGGUACCCUUGGGGCUUGGGGCUGCUGGGGGAGCCCUGUGACAGGUGAGCAUUCUGCUGUGAGUGGACAAGGGCUAUGGUUGGUCUGCAUAGAGCUUCUGUGCAAAUUAAGAAAAGGUGCCCCUGUGGGUAGAUGCAGCACUGGGCAAAGGCAAAAGGUUUGGCAAAUGGAGAGUUGUUUGGUUUCAUUCCCCUCUUGCCCCCUUAGUUGAGUGUCUUUGUGCAGUAAACAACCUGCACCACGGUACAUGGAAAGGUCCUGAAUGGAAAAGUCUCUGAGUCUUGGGACUGUCCCACUUGCCUUGGUAUUUGGACCCCUUCCUAUAGGGCCUGCCCAGCAGACAGGACUUCCUGUUGUCAGUCAUUGCUUCCCUCAACCAUAUCAGAGCCUCCUCAACCCUUUGUAAAACAUGGCUGGGAGGGGACAAGGGGCUUGGGGAGAAGGCAACAUUUAUCAGGUGUCUAGCGUGCACCAGUCACUGGGCAGGUGCUGGGUAUAUAAAGGUGAGUGAGUUCUGCCUCUUUCCUGACAGUCUGCUGAAGGGAACAGAUAGGCAAAUAAAGUAAGAACAAAUUCUUACAAGGAAAUGAGUGCAAAGCUGUGGCGACAGAGAGGGGAGCACACGACCCUGACUCAGGAGUCAUGAGUCUUCUCAGAGGACAUACUCUAUGACUUGGGGCCUCGGAGGAGUUUCCAGGCCAACAAGUAAAGGAAAGGCAUUCCAGGCAGGGGGAACAGCUUAUGCAAAGGCACAGAGAUCUGGAACUGCAUGGUUGGGUUGAGGAAAAGAGGCUGCCAAGAAUGUACUCAUGUCCUUCUCCCAUCCACCUGACUCAUCCAUCCAAAGAGGUCCAAUGUCAACUUUUCUGUGAUACCUUCCUUUGCUUCCCCGAGUCCAUCCCCUUAAGUCUCUGACAUGCACAUGUACAUCUCUCAAAGCACCUGGCACCUCAUACCGUAGUCAGGUACACCCUAGUCUCUCACCAGACCCUGAGCUCCCUGAGGGCAGAGGCUGCCCCUGCCUCACCUGUGUGUCCUCUCUCCUCACAAAGUGCUAGGCACAUGUCAAGUGUGGGAGAAAGGUUUGUUAAGUGAAUCGAUUAACAGUGUACCUGAAGCAGAGGAAGCCCAGUGAAGCAGGUCUGGAUGUGAGGCUGGACAGAAAUACUGGAUAAUACCAUGCAAAGGGUUCUGGACGACAGGCACUGGUGGCCAUCAUCAGUUCUGGCUGUAGGGUGACAUCAGGGUCAAGGUCACAUAUGUUUUGUGGUGGUACCAGGGUAUUCAAUCUGGCAGGCAGGUCCUGGCAGUAGGACACCCUGGUGGCCUCCCACCGUCUGGAGCCACACAGGAGCCUUACAUAGGGGAGGAGUCCCCAGGGGGUGGGAGAAGCGCAGGGCUGCCUCAGCUAGGAUAUCUUGAUUAUAGAUGACAAAUAAUAACGCCUCUAUUAUUUCACUUGAUAGGAAGUCCAGAGGAAGGAGAUUUUUCAGUGUAAUAGGGCUCAAUAAUACAGUAACAUCAUCGAGGUUCCUUCCAUUGCACUGCCUCAACUUCAUCGAAACACUGUUGACCCUCACGAUUGCAAGAUGGUCGGAGCAGUUCCAGGAAUUACACUCAGGCCCAUCAGUGCUCAACGGCAGAAAACAGGCACUCUUUCCGUAGUCUCCUUCCUAGAAGCGAGGAAUCCUUUCCCAGAAGUCCCUGAGCAGACCUCUCCUCACAUCUCGUUGGCCAGAAUUGGGUCACAUGCUGACUCCUGCACCAAUCACUGGCAAGAGACCGAUGAUUGGCUUAGACUAAUCAGGGUCCACCCUCUGGAGCAGCGGGUGCGGUUACCCUGCCCUACAGCUGGUGGUGUGGCGGAGGAGAUGAUGCUUAUCAGUGGAAGGCUGUAUCCCAACGUCGGUACCUUGAGAUGGGUGUGUGUGUGCACGCGCACAAGGAUGAGCAGCGUCCCCCCGCCCCGGAAUGCCAGGGAAGGGCAUCCUCCAGGAGAACCAAGAGUGUUAUCGAAGAGGCUAACACACUAGACGGUUCCAAAGGGCGUGGGAGGAAAGGCUUCGUCGGCUGGCCUCAAGUGUUGCGUUAGACGCUGACAGAGUGAGGGCCCAGCCGUUCUGGAGGCUUGAUGAUUUAGCAGACAGGGCAUCGAGGGGGCAGGUGUGGCUGAGUGCGGGGCUGUAGGAGGGAGGCUGUGAGGUCGCGGGAGACUGCGCAGCCUGUUUCACACACUCUGCCCACACACCACACACGCAAAUACCCAUACCGCGCACAGCCUUGCCAUUUACGAUUGUAAACUCCUCAGAUGGCACAAGGCAGCUCUUUGCCCAAGCAACAAAAGAAAGGCCCUGCGUUUUAUUCAGAGAAAUACAGAGGAGUUAUCUGUAUCUUCUUCCCACCUGGACGUCGCAAAAGCCCCCAGCCCCACCCACCCUCAGCCAGGAUGGCUGGAACAGCUGGGGACUGGCUGAGCCAUUCUUUCUCCACGGAGGUAUCUCCAGGAGGGUGGCAGGGCUUUUUACGUGGUGGCUGGCUUCCAAAUGGGCGAGGGAGUGGAUGCUACAAGAGUUUUAAGGUCUGGGCUCAGGAGUUCUAAUAUAUCUCUUUUUUUCCUCCUGGUCAAAGCAAGGCAUCAGGCCAGCCCAGAAUCAAGGGGAGGAGCAACAGACUCUAUCUCUUGGUGAGAGGAGCAGGCCAUGCACACAGGGAUGAGAAGGGUCGUUGGUGGCCAUCUUGGGAAACAAAAGGUCUACAUACAGAACUGGUGAGCGGCAGAGCUGGGAUCAAGCCUAUGGCUGUUUAAUGCCGGGUCCACACUUCAGCAUCACUGAUCAGAUCAUGGAGUUUUUAAGCUGGAAAUGACUCUUGAGAUCAUCUAGUGGUCCACAGCCCUGAGGGUCUUGAGCUGGGUUUCCUCAGAAGCAGACCUUGAGGACCAAUUCGAGUGUCAGUGGCUUAUUUGGGAGGUGAUCCCAAAAAGCCCUGAUAGGGGAGUGGAGAAGUGUGACAGCAAAGGGAUGGAAACUAAAUGAGCAGCUUACCUUGUGGAACCCAGUCUUGCUGGAGACUUCUGGGAGGUGAUGUGGAACACCUCUGAGGGGCUAGGAAGCUGGGGUGUUCAUCCUCUCACUUCCCACGCUGGUGCAUGGGUCCCCUCCCAGACUCAUGGAACUCACCCUUGAUCUGACUUUCCUUUUUGGCCUUGUUCAGGACACCUUCAUUCACUCCCAGUUCUGGAGUCUUCUUUCUGUCAUGGUCCCUGGGCUGGAGAAGCCCUACUGCUGUUUACCGUGAAGUUACAUGCAACAACCUGGCCAGGCUCUUUAGCAGCAGUAAAACUCCAGACUUUUCCAGGGCAACAAGUGGUUCCCUCUGCUUGGAUCUGUAGGCUGUCCCUGCUUGUCCUAACCCAACAGGUUCUUCUGGCUGCAAGAACUAUAAUUAGAACUUGUGGUGGACUGUUACUUUCGUGGCUGCCAAAGAACCAUGCCUCCCAGUGUUCAUAUCCUGGUGUAGAGCCCUCCCGCGUUGACUCUGAGCUCAGCUAUGUGACUUGUUUUAGCCAAUGGGACAUUAGCAAACAUGAUGCAAGCAGAGGCUUGAUAAGUGCUUGUACAUCGGGGGUUUUCCUCUUGCAACCCAGCUGCUGUGCUAUAAGGAAGUCGAAGCCAUCUUGCUGGAGAGAGAGAUCGUAUGAAGAAAACCACACAUGAAGAGAGAGGUAAGCCACUGGAGGAGCACUGAGCCAUUGCACAGAUCUUCUUACGGAGCUGUAUGAAAAUCUAACCUGGCGCUUCUGACUGCUAUGGAACACUCUGAUGUGCAUCUUCCAGCUCCACCUGUUCAUUCUGCUGCGGACGAACACCCAGACAGCCUCCAAUUCCUGCCACUUUAAACAAUACAGUAUUAAACGUCUUUGUUCAUGUCACCUUACAGAGCUGAUAAAACAAAUGUUCACCCAUUUUAUUCACAAACCACAGUGCAUAUCCAAAUGCCUUUAAAUGUGAUGCCAAAAAAAAAAAAAAUCCAGUAAACACACAGAUUUAUAAAGCUGAAUUUAGAUUUCUCACAUUCUCUCUUUAUUUUCAUAAUGAAAAUGUUCAAAAAGUUCAGUUAACAUCGUGACUUUGAAAACACAGAGAAUCAUUUUAGAAACAAAUUAUUUCCUAAUCGGUAUAUACCUCAUGAGGAAAAAAAACAUUAAAAAAAAUCAAAUCUGUUGUAUUCAUUUAAAACAAACACACACUCCCAGUAGAACCUCCCAAGGUUUGUACGGUGACUGCAUUUUUCCAGCUGAGCAAUAUUACGAUGUUUCAGAGGGACUCCUAAAUCACUGAGCACAUGGAUCAGACAGGCCCUUGUUCGCCAGCACAUGGUCUCUGUUCUUGCACAGCCUGCUUCUGCAGCAACAGCAUUCUUCGCUCUCUUUGCAAUUUUAACUCCCACUUGAAAGGGAAAAACAUCAGACACAUCUAUAGACAUAGGAUGGCUCUCAACCUGCCCUCUUUCCCUGUGGGAAGUUACAGCUCUUACAGUGUAUCUCUAACCUGUCAAACUGUCCAACAAACUCAGAGGACAGAGUUUUCGAUGUACUCUUUCAUUCUUUUCCAAGCCCUGACAUUUUUGGUCCAUAUUCCCGUUCAGAUGUGGCAGCUCACCAUUUAGUGGCAGUUCCCACACAGCCUGCUCUGGAGACCUGCUUCCUUGUGAGUUGGUGGCCACUCUCUGGUCACCUCAGUGGGUGGGCAAUCUAUUCCCUUAAAUUUAGUGGGUCUCUGUUUCUUUUACAACCUAGCCCCAGCUCUCUCAAAGGAUUCCAAUGGGAAAUCUAUGAAAAGCUUUCAUAUUUUGAAUCCUUCUCUCCAAACAAACCCUUCUGUAGCUUCUAUUUUGACAUGUUGCCUUCCUGACUCCUGUAGUUAUAGACGUAGGCAAAAAUAGUUUUCCCGGAGGUUCCUGAGCCUUCUACAACUGCUGGGACAGUGCAUAACCUGACCUAUGGCUUGGCGAACCCUUCUGCCUCUCAAUGUGCAAGUGAAGACCUUCACUCUCCAUCAGAGGGCAGUUCACCUAGGGCUGGCUAAACCCCCACCACAACCGGAUCUUCUCUUUUGGACUGAGGCAAGCCGUGUGUGGCUUGGAUCACAAUUUCCUCAGGCCUUAGCCCUCAUGUCCUUCCCACUAAUCCUGGAACCUUGAAACCUCUCCCUCUUUCCUCUAUCUCUGAUGCUUCAGAGUAGUUCUCACCAAUUCUUACUGAAGCCUCCUUUUAAAAAGAUAUGCAAAAUAGCGAGGAAAAUUUUAGGGAUUGUUAAUAAAGAAGGGGAGCUUUCCUACCAGAUACUGAAGUGCCUUAAGCUGUGACAACUGAAACAGUUUAUUAUGGUGUAUGAAUUGGUAGAUGAGUGGAAUGGAAGAGAAAAUCUCAACACAGACCAAGAAUCUAGAAGAAUUUAGCAUGUGGAGAUGACAGCAUCUCAAACUCCCAUAUGUGGACUGACAGUGAUGAAAGAUUGGGUGAUACAAUUUACAAUGUUAGAAGUGCUGGUUAAUCAUUUGGGGGCAAAAUUAGAUCCCUAUCUAAUGCCAAAUAGAUGAAACAUCUAAAUGUUCAAAAAGGAAGAAGGAAAAAGAAGUCAUCAGUAGACUAGAGAAUACUGGUGAAAAUUUAUAUAACCUCAGAAUGAGGAAAGCUUUCUAAGCACAGCAACAAAGGCAAAAACCUAAAGGAAAGUAUUGAUAGAUCUACCCAAACCCCAAAUCAGACACUUCUAUAUCUACAAACUCAUCAAAAAUAAAACUUAAAGGCAAAAUAAAACUGGGGAAAAUAUUAUUGCAUAUAUGGCAAAUUAUUAAUAGCAUUUGUAUAUUAAGAAUUGUCAUAGAUCAGUGAGAAUAAAAGUGAGAGUGAUGUUGAGCCCUACAUAAGGCAUCAUUGUCUGAGGAAGGCUGCCAGCCAAUGGUAACAGCUUGAUUACAUCAGACCCCUUCCUCUCCUAAUGGGGCAGCAAUUUGUUCUUCUUAGAUUUUUAUCUACUGCAGAUAUGGGUUUGCCUUCUCUGUCUACAGUGUGGCUGCCAGCACUCCCAUAUGUGGACUGACAGAAAUGACAUGGUAUUCUGAAUAAAGUGGCCUCAACAUGAGGGACCAAUUUUAUGGAUAAAGUACUGAUAAUGGCACACGCAAUGGCUUCCACUGGCCUUCCCAUACAUCCCAUUAGCUGGAAGGAACCAGCCUAACAUAAUAGUGGAAUGACCUGCAGGGUUGGUGUGCUGAAGUCCAGGAUGCAAUAUGCACACUGAAUGGAUAAGCAAUUGGUAGAGCUGUGUUGCCAGUAGCUAAAAUGCGCAGGUCUGGGGAGCGGAGGAGAGGGGAAGGAGGAAUAGUUGCUCUCUCUAUCGCUCCAGUGACACACUUAAGAAGGCUGUGCUUCCUUCCCUGUAAACUUUGAUUUGGUUGGAUUAGAGGUCCUGUUUCUCAAAGUGUGGAAUGGUUCCAUCAGGGCCCACAGUGAGAGUUCCUCUGAACUUGAAGCUAUGCCUGUGGACCAGGAGGCAUAGAAAGUUAUUAUACUGGUGUCUUAGAGUGGAUUCUACCAAAAGCAGGCCCUGAAACCAGGAUUUGAGUGUGGGUAGUUUAUUUGGGAGAUGAUUCCAGGACAUACCAAAGGGAGGUAGGGAAGUAAGACAGAUGGAGGAAGGAAGCCAAUGUAGGGUGUUAGUGAAUAGGUUGCCGCUGUGGGAAACUGGGCCUCAUUCCUGCUGGGGACCUCUGGGAGGCAUGUGGAACAUGCCUUAGAGUUGUCUUUCCAGAGGAGCAAGGUAUAACUCCCAGGGCUUGAUCCAGGGGCUUCAGCUCUAUGUCCUGUACUGAAUGGGUGCUGAGCAUGGUCUUAAGGCCAGAGGAACCCCGAGGCAGGGAGCACUGGUGUUGGAAGUAAGGAGCUGCUGAGUGCAUGACAGCAGUGGUCUGGGCUUUCUUUCUAUGGCUGUUAAUAACAGUCAUUGUUGUUAUCCUUGUAAUUCCCAUCAUCCCCUUACUUUUCAAGUGCCAGACCCACUGCUGAAGCCUGCUCAUCCCCUUCCUCCUGUGUAGUAACUGGGAUAUUGAGCAUAGCAUGGGUUCUUACCACCAUACUUACUGGCAGAAUUCAGAUCCUUUUUCCCACCAGGCCAGUGAGAGGUCCAAUUCCAGAAUCUCAGCCUGAGUGUCUGCUCCCUUGGGGCACUUCUUGUAUCAAUCAUCCUAGUUUGGGUUCCCCACAAAGCAGACUUUGAGACUAGACUUUGAGGAUGCAUAGUUAACUUGGGAGUGAUCCCAGGAAACACCAGCAUGGAAGUGAGAAGGUGAGACAGGAAAGGGAAGCGGGUCCAUAUCGUGUAUGUUAACAAUCACAGGUCACCACUGUGGGCAACGGGAGAUGGUGUGAACAUGCCUCAGAAUUGUCCCAGUCUCACCAGAGGGGCCACGUAGCUGGGGUGUUUGUCUACCAACUCUUAUUCAUCACUGGUCCAGACUAUCCCCAGGGUGCCCGCUCCUCUGCCUUCUGACCUGUUCUGAGAGUGAGCUGAGCAUGUUCCCACAGCCAGAGGAAGCCUUUGGGUGGGGAGUCUCCAGGGCUUGAGGUAAGAAGCUGCUGUGUGCAUGGGACAGUGAUUGUCAAAUAGUGCUAGUUUAUUGUUGGGAGGUAAUUCUCUGUGGGACUUUGACAUUGCUGCAUGUCUUAUAGGCAGAGGCCCUUGUUCUACACUGGAUUUUUCAAUGAUGUCUACAGAGUUCUUAAUGUAGUCGCAGCAGGAUUGCAGAGAAACCCAACAGAGACAACCUGGAAUCUACACUGAACCAGCAGUCAUACCGAUAGGGGCCCACUGAACACACCCCCGGAUCACUGCAUUCUUUAGGUGACCCCGAGAGCUCCUGGAAGAUGAAGACCUUGAGGUUCAUGGACUCACCUGGAGAAUUUAUCAGAAGAGGCAUCAAAUAAAAGACUCUCUGCAGCCCUGUUGGAAAGGACCAUACCAAGUACUUUUAACCAAUUCAUGCACUACAGAAUCAAAAGGCAUUCACAUUUUUCAUUUAAAAAAGGCUUCUCCACCUGAGUGGGUUUCAGUUCCUAUUUUUGAUACCUGACUUGAACUGAUCAAUGCAAAUAUCUACAAAACAGGAUGAGAAGAAGACGGCAUCUGUUGUAGACAGCUGUCCCAAGACUCCAGACCAGGACCUGGGAACUGUCUCUUAAAAAUGUCACCUUGAGGAAGCUGAUGCCCGACCUGCCAGCUCCUGUGGGAGAAUAGGAGCCUCCGAGCUGCAGAACUGCCUCCUGCCAUAAAGAGACGAGAAGCUUAUGUUUCCUUUGGACAAAGGCAAUCAGUUAACACAGAUGGCCACCCCAGCUGCCAAGUGAAUUUAAGAUGAGCUAUGCGUGACAAAUGGUGCUGUCAAGUUUUUUUACUUGAGGACUAGUUAUUGUUUAGCUUGAGAACACCUAUGUAAUGGAUUGUAUCUGCUUGGCUCUGUAAAAGGGUAAGAUUCCUUUCUAUCUUUGCGAUCUCUUAGUGAAUUGCCUGAGAUGCACAUCACAAUCUGGUUUAAUACUUAUUCAAUAAUAAAAUUGUUUGCUUUCUCUUCUAC
ensembl:lncRNA